CGAGUGCCUGCUGGAAAAGGACAGGAGCCGAGUGGGCCAGUACGUGCGCCAGGCCCUGCCGUACCUGGAGAGCCCAGAGGAGCCCCUGCGAAAGCUGGCCAUCAAGUUCCUGGGGAUCGCCGCCAGGUCCAUGAAGCAGGAGCAGCCAGAGCUGCAGCUCAU